rnacentral:misc_RNA from 1 species
AAAAUGGAUAAAAAAAUAACUCUAAAAAUGGAGCUGAUACACUGCAACUGCAACUGCAGCCAUCAACUAUUAGCUAUAUUUUUUUAAACUUAUCAAACACUCUAAUUCACCUGAUUGGGUGUCUAUCAGCUAUGUGCUGCACCCAACAGGUGAACCAAACACCUUCUGGAUCUAUCAUUGAUCCAAAACAUAAAAUAUAUAGUAUGAAUCAUUUAUUAAAUAUAUAAAUCUCACAUAAUUAUAUCUUGAAUCCAUAAUGAAGGGGUCUAAGCAAAAAUUCCCCCCAAAGAGAAAUGCCCUUUCUGCUUUUUAUUAUGUGUUUUCACUAUCAGUCUUAUCUGAACCCACGCUGAAUUAAGCAUUGGUUAUGAUAGAAGCAGGAGAUGUUAUUUAUUACUGAACACUGCUAUAGCAAACUUUUGAAGCAUAUAAAACCGAAUAUAGUGGGCAUAUAGUUACAUUAUUGUAAAAACUAAAUAGAUAGAUAUUAUAGUAUUCCGGUAUGAACUGUUCUGGCUGAAGAUAUGGGACUAGAAGUACAAUAUUUCUUCAGGUAUCUAGUUGGGAACCCAAACAACGUGGUCCUGAGGAAGGAAAUGGCAAACAGGAACUGUUCCUGGCUUGACCUUGAGCACCUGGAAAGCCAAAUGCUUUGGGUUCCAAGCUGAUGUAUCUGUAUGGCAUACUGCUACUGCUUGAGCCUUUGAUCCAUCAGCACCCUCUAAGGAAACCAUGUAAGCCCUCGUGGUUUGUGUUGCAUGGCAAUAAAAGACAGCAUAUGCAUAGUUCUGCUUGUGACACACCACGGAUUUGUCACCCGCCAUCUUCUUUGUUCCAUCUGUAAUUGUAUACUUCUGCAGCUGGGUUUGGUGUUCGGCCACUGUGGAGACUGCCUGGACAUUCUUUCCAAGUACAGAAGUGCUGAAGUCAAUCAUCGACUCUAGCGAAGUUGCGCAAUAUUUCACCUCUCCUUUAAUACCAGGUUCUUCACACUCUCUGAUUGUAUUCUUUAUUAUCUCGGCUUCCAUUGAUCCUUCUUUUACUGAAAACUGGUUAUAAAUCUCUGGCAACUUGUCAGAUGAAUAAGGUAUCGAAUUGGCAGUUUACAUUUACUCCACCCUUCCCGACGUUAACAGAAGUGCCACCAGGUUUUCCUUUACUUGCAUUAACAUUUACACCUCCCUUUCCUACAC